UGUUGCGGGAAGAGAAACCAGAUAGACCACCACAAAACUUGUCUUCAUAUCCCCAAGAAACUUCAGACCGUGAAGAGAAAGUGAAGAAAGUGUCGCCACCUCGUGGGAAAGGGUUGCGGGAAGAAAAACCAGACAGACCACAAAACUUGUCUAAAAGAGACGUCAGGUCGUCAGACAUCCCUACCUUUACAAACUUCAGGCAGAACACAAGUGAAACGGUUUCAAGACAAUAUGAAACCGACUCUUCGCUUGAUGAAAACAUUGAUGCACUGCUUGAGGUAAAAUAUGAGAUGAACCUGUGAGAUUGGUUUGCAAGCAAUGGUAGAAAAACUUUUACUAAUAGUUACCGCAUGACUUUUUCAGGAAGAGGAAGCUCUGAUUACAGCACACAGAAAAGAAAUAGAGGAUACAAUGGAGAUUGUUCGCGAGGUAAGUAAACGUAAACAAGUGACUGCAAUUGUAGAUUAUUAUCUCUCUGUUAAACUUUUCAUAAUCUUACUUAGGAGAUGAAGCUUUUAGCGGAGGUGGACAAACCGGGAAGCAUGAUAGAAAACUAUGUCACGCAACUGAGCUUUGUCUUGUCGAGGAAAGCAGCGGGGCUUGUGAGUCUCCAAGCCAGGCUUGCUCGGUUCCAACACCGUCUCAAGGAACAAGAAAUACUUAGCCGUAAGAGAGUUCCUCCUCGAUAGUUGGUACAAGAAAGAAACCCAAAAAAAAACGAUUGUGUGUGUGGUGUUGUCAAGUGUGAAAGUUGCUUGGGACACAGUGGGAUGAAGAAAAAAAAAUGUCCAUUGUGUUUGUGAAUUUGGGAAUAUAUAUAUAUAUUUCAUUUUAUUCUUAUCAUAAAAUUAUACAAUUUGUGUUUACUGUACAAUGAAAUGUGAAUUAAAACUCUUUUCUCAGUCAACUGAAAAAAAGAAGAAUAUAAACAUUUACGAUGUAAUUAUAACCAAUUUAGUAAAAGCCAUGUAAUAAAAAAAAUCAGAUUCUUAAUAGCUAAUAUAAAUUAUUUGCUACCGUCUAGAAAGACAAGGGGAAUAGGUCCAAAAAUAGUACCGCUCGUGUCGUGAACACAAAAAGCCCAACUAAAAGGCCUUGGCCCACCUUACGUUUGUCACGUGACAUGCCAUUUGCAUAAACAAGACUCGAUCUGCACCGUCCGAUGCUUAAACCCAAACGGAUAUCAACCGUCCAUCGAAACGCUCUUAUCUCCUCCACCUUCCCGUCGUAGUCGCACUGUCGCAGGCGAGUAAAAGGCGUAUGAAAAGAUAUUUCUCAGAUCUAGGUAAACACUUUCCGCCAUUGCUCCUCUCCUCGCUCUCUGUGUAAGCUUUUAGGGGCUUCAUUUUCGAUGAAUUCUCCUUGUAUUUCUAUUGAAUUUUAUGAUCAAAUAAAUAUGCGUGCGAUUAGAGAAGAGACGAGUCCUGAGCUAGGGUUUUGUAUUUAGAUUGGUUGGUUGGAGCAGUGAUUCGUGAUUUCGUUUUUGUUUAUGAUCGUGAACAGCUCAGAUCUUUAUGGAACUAUUAAGUUAUGUUUGCGAUAGUCCUGAGCUUGAAUUUAUAUCAAAGGUUUAGCCUUUUUUUUUUUUAAUGGGUGUGAACAGGUAAGAUAUGGAAGAGAAGAAGCUUGCAGACGAUAGAAACAGCGAUGAGCAAGUAGAGAGAAUUGAAUUGGUGGUUUCUGAUGUUGAUGCGAGGGAUACAGAAGAUGAGGUCUUUGAGGAAGCUAUCGACAGUUCGAAGCCUGAAUCUUUUCAAGCCGAUGAUGGGUUACACGAGGAUUCACCUUCAGAGGAAGUGAAAGAUUCCAAGGUUAAUGGAGAGAGCCAUGGUGAGGCAAACGGGCAAGAUAUAACUACGGGAGAGGCUGUACCAGGUUUUGUGACUUCCCGAAUGAAUGGUGUUGAAGGGGAAGCAAGUGCAGGGAAUGUCAGCGAUACAGCUACACUUUCUUUUUCUGAAAAUGGAACUGUCUCUCUUGAGAAGAAAGCUGUUCUCCUCUCUUUCGGGUAAGCUUUUAGGGUUUCAUUUUUAAUGAAUUCGUCUUGUAUGUAUAUCUUUGAAAAGAGACGAGUAUUCUAGAGUUUGUGGUGAUAAUCCUGAGCUACGGGUUUGUUUCUGCUCUAUCUUUUCUGUUAGGGUUGCUGGAAAUUAUAUCAAGGGUUAAGCAUUUUUGUUUGGUUAGUGCAAUGAUUGGUGAUUUCGUUUUGGUUAUGGUUGUGAGCAGGUCAGAUAUGGAAGAGAAGAAGCUUGUAGACGAUAGAAUCAGCGAUGACCAAGUAGAUAACAACAUAUUGCUGGUUUCUAAUGUUGAUGCGAGGGAUACCGUAGAUGAGGUAUUUGAGGAAGCUAUUAACGGUUUCCAAGACGAUGAUGGGUUGCACGAGGAUUUACCUCGAGAGGCAACUCCUGCAGUUUACAUGGAUGAUCUGGAAGAAGUGAGUAGCAAUGAGAAGGAAGUGAUAGAUUCCAUGGUUAGUGGAGAGAGCCAUGGGGAGGCAAACGUGCAAGAUAUAACUACGGGAGAGGCUGCACCAGGUUUUGUGACUUUCAAAAUGAAUGGUGAUGAGGGGAAGUCAGGUACAGAUAAUGUCAGCGAGACAGCUACACAUUCUUUUUCUGAAAAUGGAAAGAAACAACUGGUGGCUGAAGUGAUCGAGGAAACAAGGAAUGGUGGUAUAGAAGAGGAAAACAGGGAUGAAAAUGUUGAUGUAUCAGCUGGCAGAGGAACAGAACAAGAGGCACAAAGAAAUGGUGAGACUGCUGCCGAUUACAACACUGUUAAACGUGCUUCAGGUGAGAGAUCCUUGAAUGAUAGUAUAGCUUGUGCUGGGACCUUAUCUCCAUUGGAGAAAUCUAGUUCUGAGGAAAAGGGAGAGACUGAAGGUCACAUCAGUAGAGAGCAUGAUACUGUUCAAAACAGUAAGGGAGGACUUGGUGUUGAACAUACUUCUCAACCUAAUAAGGAAUUUGAGAAGAAGCAAGGCAGCAGAGUGAAUAUGAGUCCAGAGAUUCAGGAAAGCCCACAUUUGGAAAGAAAAUCUGAGGAAGCAAGUUCUGUUUCACCAACAGAAUCUACAAGUAAUACUGCAGCGUCACCUCCUGCUCGCCCAGCAGGCCUUGGGCGUGAUGCUCCUCUUUUGGAAUCCACACCACGUGUUCCUCAUCAGCCUCGUGUCAAUGGUAAUGUGUCUCAGAAUCAGUCUGAGCAAGCAGAGGACCCUACCCCUGCAGAGACCGAUGAGCAUGAUGAGACCCGUGAGAAGCUCCAAUUGAUCAGGGUCAAGUUUUUGAGGCUUUCACAUAGAUUAGGGCAAACUCCACAUAAUGUUGUUGUUGCUCAGGUUUUGUAUAGGCUUGGAUUAGCAGAGCAGUUGAGGGGGAGAAACGGAAGCCGUGUUGGUGCCUUUAGUUUUGAUCGAGCCAGUUCCAUGGCAGAACAACUUGAGGCAGCUGGACAGGAUCCACUUGAUUUUUCUUGUACAGUUAUGGUGCUCGGUAAAAGUGGUGUUGGUAAGAGUGCUACGAUUAAUUCUAUUUUUGAUGAACCGAAAAUCUGUACCGAUGCAUUUCAGAUGGGGACAAAGAGGGUUCAGGAGGUUGAGGGUUUUGUUCAGGGAAUUAAGGUUCGGGUGAUUGACACUCCAGGUCUCUUACCAUCAUGGUCUGAUCAACACAAGAAUGAGAAAAUGUUGAAGUCUGUUAAGGCUUUCAUCAAGAAAAAUCCACCGGAUAUCGUAUUAUAUCUUGAUAGGCUGGAUAUGCAAAGCAGAGAUUCUGGUGACACUCCUCUCUUGCGCACCAUCACUGAUGUUUUUGGACCAUCGAUAUGGUUUAAUGCCAUUGUGGGUUUGACUCAUGCCGCUUCUGCUCCACCAGAUGGCCCAAAUGGCACUGCCUCUAGCUAUGACAUGUUUGUAACACAACGUUCUCAUGUCAUUCAGCAGGCCAUUCGCCAAGCAGCUGGAGAUAUGAGGCUCAUGAACCCUGUGUCUUUAGUUGAGAACCACUCUGCUUGCAGGACAAAUCGGGCAGGUCAGAGAGUAUUGCCGAAUGGCCAAGUGUGGAAGCCUCAUUUGCUGUUACUCUCAUUUGCGUCCAAGAUUCUAGCAGAAGCAAAUGCUCUUCUGAAAUUACAAGAUAAUAAUACUCCAGGGAGACCAUUUGUAGCUCGAUCCAAGGCUCCACCACUGCCACUUCUCCUCUCAUCGUUUCUGCAAUCAAGACCGCAAGCUAAACUUCCUGAAGAGCAGUAUGGUGAUGAAGAAGAUGAAGAUGAUUUGGACGAAUCAUCAGGUUCUGACGAAGAAUCAGAGUACGACCAGCUUCCUCCUUUUAAGCGUUUGACUAAAGCUGAGAUGGGUAGUCUUAGUAAAUCUCAGAAGAAGGAAUAUCUUGAUGAGAUGGAGUACCGGGAGAAACUAUUUAUGAAGAGGCAGAUGAAAGAGGAAAGAAAGAGACGUAAGAUGAUGAAGAAAUUUGCUGCCGAGAUUAAAGAAUUUGCUAACGGGCAUAGUGAAAAUGUGGAAGAGGAGAGAAGUGAACCUGCUUCUGUUCCAGUUCCCAUGCCAGAUUUGUCUCUACCUGCAUCGUUCGACUCUGACAACCCUACUCACAGGUACCGGUCUCUUGAUUCCUCCAAUCAGUGGCUUGUUAGGCCAGUCCUGGAAACUCAGGGGUGGGAUCAUGAUGUUGGGUAUGAAGGUGUCAAUGCAGAACGACUUUUUGUUGUUAAAGAAAAGAUACCGAUAUCUUUCUCGGGGCAAGUUACAAAGGACAAAAAGGAUGCAAAUGUGCAGCUGGAAAUGGCCAGCUCGGUUAAACAUGGAGAGGGCAGAUCAACCUCCCUAGGUUUUGAGAUGCAAAAUGCUGGGAAGGAAUUGGCUUACACUGUUCGAAGUGAUACCAAAUUUAACAAUUUUAGGAAACACAAAGCUGCAGCUGGUCUCUCUGUAACGCUCUUGGGUGAUUCGGUGUCUGCGGGGCUGAAAGUUGAGGAUAAGUUGAUUGCUAAUAAAAGGUUCAGAAUGGUUAUGUGUGGAGGGGCAAUGACUAGUCGAGGAGAUGUUGCUUAUGGGGGUAGUUUAGAAGCUCAGCUGAGAGAUAAAGAUUAUCCGCUGGGUAGGUUUUUAUCUACUCUAGGACUUUCUGUGAUGGAUUGGCAUGGGGAUCUUGCUAUUGGAGGGAAUAUACAGUCCCAGGUGCCCAUAGGACGUUCAUCUAAUCUAAUAGCUCGUGCUAAUCUGAACAACAGAGGGGCAGGGCAAGUAAGCCUCCGCGUAAAUAGCUCUGAGCAGCUCCAACUUGCACUGGUCGCAUUGGUUCCUCUGUUCAAGAAGCUACUUAGUUAUUAUUCCCCUCAGCAAAUGGAAUAUUGACAAUAAUGGAUCACUUCGGGUUUCAAUUCACUUACUACAAGAACAUCCUAGAUUGAGAGUUGAAAAGGUACUAAUCUAUCUGCUUUUGCUUUCUUAUUCCAUUUGCUGUAAACCCGCUUUAUUGAUUGCUGAUGUGGCUUUUGGUUUUUGAGCAGGAACCUUGGUGUGCCCUUUGGGUUGAAAACUUUAAGAACAAUUUGUUGGAGGAGGCCUCUGUUUUCUUUACAUAGCCAGAACACUUGUUCGUUCCUUGUCUAAUUUAAGCAUAGUUGUGGUUUUAUUCUCUUUCCAAAACCUUUGUAUGGCUUUCUGUUCAUGUCUACCUCUGGAUUUUUCAUAAAGCUUGUUAAAAUUAUGCUGCAAUCUACUUGUUGAUUUUAAGACACCCAUCAUCACCCUCUGAGCUAGCCGUAAUUCAAGGCUUUUAAAGGGAGUUUUGUAGGGGUCCUUAUCAUCUGCUAAACGUCUUUUAAUGUUGUCAAGCAUCUAUUGUAAGCUGCUUUGGAAAGUCAAAGUUGCUGGUAACUUUUGUUGCGCCAGUUCGUAUUAUGCGUCUUUCCCUCAAAUCAAAAGAUUCUGUUGUUGAUACUGUUACUGCGAAUCUCACAUUGUCACGUUGAGUCCCACCAAAUCCAUUGGUUUGGUGCUCAUGCAAUCCAUCUGCGAGACUUCUGUUACACAAUUUGCUCUUGUUAGCAGCGAGAUGUGGUAGCUUUGGUCUUGUUGUCAUUAUAAAAGCUUCUGUGGUGGAAAUACCGUUUGGAUUUGCCAGUUCUUAACGGAAGAGAUUAUCUAUGUGAAAGUUGUCACUGCAUGUUUUGACUUGUCUAAUAUUGUCGAGUAGGAAGCUUUUAAUGGGAGAAGAUGGUAGACAAGAAGUUUACAGUGUUGGGCUGCAAGAGUAUGAAGUCUCAGAUGUUCAAAUUGUAAGGUACUUAUCGAGAAAGGGAACGCUGAAAGGAGCACAGGGUCAACUGGAGCAAAUGGGGAGUCAUCUAGAUCACAUGCUAUCUUACAACUUGUUGGAAAGAAACACGUUUUGAGGUAAAAGAAACCAGACGUAAAAAUGAUGAUGCCAAUGAAUUGCCUGGGAAAGUUGUUGGGAAGAGUACUUUCAUUGAUCUUGCUGGCAGUGAAAUAGGUGCAGACACCACAGACAAUGACCGCCAGACAAGGUGAGAAUGCUCUCUAGACGUCGUGGCUGAGUACUGAUGUGGGACCCACAAAUGACGCUGGAGAUGAUGUCAUGGCACGCUGGCAAUGAUCAGCGUUAUCUUUCAAACCUUCUCAUGCAGGUACUUUGCUUUCCCUGAGUCUUUCUUUCCAUUACACUCUUCCAAUAACUUGCAUGCCUUGUAGGUGGUAAUUGCCAAUGUUUUGUUAGAGCUUUGGUUCGCUGAAUGCUGAGUAUGAAUGUAAGCUUGGAAUCUUUUUGACCAUCCUUGUGAAUUGUGCUUAUCUUGCUAGAAUUUGUUUCAGGGCAUGUUAGUAAUUUAUCUCUUUCGAUUGGUAAUUUUCUUAGCUAUAGAAACUUUACUGGCUGGCUGCUUUGUGUUUGUUUUUGCUGUAUCUGCCACGGUUAUGGAGCUCAGACUGCUGGAGAGAAUCAAAAGCUUUUCAAACUAAUGUGAAAUCUGAAUCUCUACGGAGAGUACUCUGAAUCAUAUAUACACCAUCAGCAGCUUUUCAAACUAAUGUGAAAUCUGAAUCUCAACGGAGAGUACUCUGAAUCAUAUAUACACCAUCAGCAGCUAUGCCUUCUUCGGAAGGAUUUUUUUUCCACCCGAGUUCAGAGAUGAUUUUGGAGCUUGUUUGAUGGGAUCUUCAUGCAGUGGAUGACUCAGAGCUUCUCUCUGAGGUACGUUUGGAAGGACAACUAGACAUAGAUCAUUCAUAGUUAUGUUGAUUGGUAUGUUCUGUAGAAACUAUAGCCUCUCUUGAAACUAAUUCUCAGCUUCUCUUAACUUCAGACCGUGAAGAGAAAGUGUCACCACCUCGUGGGAAAGGGUUGCGGGAAGAAAAACCAGCCAGACCACAAAACAUGUCUAAGAGAGACGUCAGGUCGUCAGAUAUCCCCUACCUUUACAAACUUUAGGCAGACACAAGUAAGCCAUACAUAUAUAUAUAUAACCGACCCUUCACUUGAUGAAAACAUCGAUGCAC
rnacentral:lncRNA from 1 species